GGCCUUGAAGCUUAGCUGGUUGAGCGUCUGCUUCACAAAAGCCUAGGCGGCGUCCAUGUGUGGGUUCGAAUCCCACGAAGGCUA
rnacentral:tRNA from 1 species